GGCCCAUUCGUCUAGUGGUUAGGACACUAGAUUUUCAAUCUAGCAGCGGGAGUUCGAUUCUCCCAUGGGCUA
rnacentral:tRNA from 3 species